UCCUGUGACUCCUCACUAGGACUAUCCUAGCUAAGGUUUUGCUAAACUGAAACACGACUGUACACAGCUCCUGAACUGGAGUGGUCAAUCCCAUCUUGACACACGCACUGACAAGUCAAGUACUUGACUACACCCAGCAGCCUUCUGUCACUGAAUUAAAAAUUCAGAUAGUCCAGUGCCUAAGUACAGUAAGUUGCUUGCAAGUCACCGUGGCGGUCUCAAGUCAGAGGGAUAGUUAUACCCAUAUCCCAUCGAAGCAAAUCUUGACAGUAGAAAAAGCUCUGGAGUCGGUCAUGUUCAGUGCAGAUGUACCCUUACAUCUCACUUGUAUGCCAUACUAGUGUCUCCACACUCCUUGGUUAAAAGGACAACCAACUCAUAUGGCACAAAAUGACCUAUGCUUGAUCGAAGAGUCCCAAACCAGUGGGACUCUUGACCCUGGUACCCAAAAUGUAUGGAACUCGUGAUCAGAGAAUCCUGAUUCUCGAUCACAGAGUCCCAGACAUGUAGGACUCAGAGUCUCCAAGCAUUAGGACUCUUGGU
rnacentral:lncRNA from 1 species